UUUGCCAGUUUCACUGGGCCAUUAGGUACCCAAAUAUUUGUUGGAACAUUCUAGAAGUAUCUAUGAGCAUAUUUUGGGUUGAGUUUAAUAUUUCAGUCUAUAGGUUGAGUAAAACAGACUGCCCUCUGUUGGGAACAAAAAAAGGGGUCCAACAUCCAGCCAGAGUUCCUGUGCUCUGAGCAGGCAGACGCAGGCAGAACUGCCAGACACUUUCCACUCAGCCCCAGGUGGACAUCUAAGCCUCUGACCCCACUCGGCGGGGGGUGGACAAGGGGCAGCCCCCAACUGGGGACCCUGAGGUGACACCCUGUCGUCCCGGGGUUAUAGGAGAGAGGGAAUAGGGAAGAGGUUCCCAACACUGACCAGAGUCUUAAUGGAGCAGAGACUCUCUAUGGUUUAAGAGCUUUAUUAUAGAAAUGCAGGGAGAAAGAGAGAAGGUAGAAAAGGAGAGAGAGAGAGAGAGAGAGAGAGAGAGAGAGAGAGAGAGAGGGAGGAAGAGGAAGAGGAAGAGGAAGAAGAAGAAGAAGAAGAAGAAGAAGAAGAAGAAGAAGAAGAAGAAGAAGAGGAGGAGGAGGAGGAGGGAGAGGAGGAGGGAGAGGAGGAGGGAGAGGAGGAGAGAAGAAGACAAGGAAAAGAAAGAGAAGAGAGAAGACAAAGAGAGGGGAGAGGGGGGAGAGAGUGAAGGGUAAGAAGUAAGAGCAUAAGAGUAAGAGAGAGAGGUGGGGGCUGAACAGCCCUUUUUAUGGUCUUUACUGCUGCUAGGUAACUGGGGAGGAGUUUAACCUGAAGGUCAGAAUCUUGGGACAUUGCUUAUGUGACUACUGACCAUGCUUCUCUUGUGGAGGCUGUGGGAGGUGGUAACUUAGGCAGGGGCCAGAGCUCCAGGAGCAUGAGGGAACGCCUACUGUGUCAUGAAGGUAAAUUAUGACCAUCAGGGUUCAGACCUCAGCUCGACCGGAGACCAGCCUGCAAUUCCCCACAGCCCUCCCUAAAGUGGGUUAAAAGACAGAAAAGAAUUAAAUAUCUGAUCCUCUCCCAUAUCUACAAGACGUAACUUCCCUUGUCCAACCAUCUUGUAGAUUGGAUGUUGUUUUUCCCUUGCUUUUUAAUUAGAACUAUGUCAUUGGUCCUCCUGUGUCAUAAGUCUACAAAGUGCAUGUGUGCUGGCUAAUCUUGUGUCAACCUGACAGACAACUAGAAUUAUCUGAAAGGAGGGAACCUUAAUUGAGAAAAUGCCUCCAUAAGAUCCGGCUGCAAAGCAUUUUCUUAAAUUGUGAUUGAUGUGGCCGGGCCCAGCCCAUUGUGGGUGGUGCCAUCCCUGGAUUCUGGGCUCUAUAAAGAAAGCAGGCUGAGCAAUCAUUGAGGAGCAAGCCAGUAAGCAGCACCCCUCCACGGCCUCUGCAUCAGCUCCUGCCUCCAGGUUCCUGCCCUGCUUUGAGUUCCUUCCUGUCCUGACUUUCUUUGAUGAUGAACAGCAAUGUGGAAGUAUAAGCUGAAUAAACCCUGUCCUCCUCCCCAACUUGUUUUUUGGUCAUGGUGUUUCAUCACAGCAAGAGACCCUAACUAUGACAGUAUGUCUUAGGAAUUAUCAGCCUCCAUAAUCAGGAGCAAAAUUCCUUAUAGCAACUCACUAAUAUGCCAAUGGUCAAAGGAAGUUAGUGACCAAAUCCAGAGAGUAAGGGGUAGAAAAGUCUUACACGGAGGUACCAUUGCCAGGAGGUUGGAUUAUCAAGACUCCCAACACACUGGCUGCCAACAAGGAAACCCCAAAUAUCGGCAGAAUUCUCACUGAUUGGCACUUGCCUGGUAACUAUAGUGCAAAUUUCAAAUCUGGAAGGACAAAUUUGGAAUCUGUGAACAGUUUGGGUGUCCCAGUAAGAUAUAACCUUACUAUGUGUUUUUUUUUUUCACUUGCUUUGUGUGUGUGUGUGUGUGUGUGUGCGCGCGCGCGCGCGCACAUGUGUUGGCAUGUGUGCCACUGGUGUAGGCAUGACAGUCAGAAGAAAACAUUAGGGAGACAGCUCUCACAAAGGGUCUCUGUUAGUUUUCCUGCUGUGCUUACUAUCACAGGUUAGAUAGCUCACAACCACUCAGGAGUCUCCUGUCUCUACCACCAGCUCACAGCCACUAGGAGUCUCUGCCACCAGCUCACAGCCUUUCAGGAGUUGCCUGUCCCUGCCUCCUGUCUAACUUUCGAGUGCUGAGAUGACAGGUACCUACAUCUAGCUCUCUUAUGUAGGUCCUGGGGAGUAAACUCAAGUCAUUAACCUUGUUGUAGCAAAUGAUUUUACCCACUCAACUGAUGGCCCAGUUGCCUUGAUGGUCUGUGUGGUUGGUUGGCUGGACUUUUUGUUUCGAGAUAGGAUCUAAGCUAGAUAACUUAGGCUGGCCUUGAACUCAUUAUAUAGCCCAGGCUGGCCUCCAACUCAGUGCUUGCCAUACUUCAACCUCCCAGAUGCUAGGACUAUAUGCAUGAGCCAUCAAGCCUAGCACCGUGCAUAUUUAAAUUGUAUGGUUUGUAUUAUACACUAUAUAGAUUUUAACACAUGGUACAUUGGGAAUGAUGUCGAUUUUUAAAAUACAUAUAUAGUAGGUAAUGUCACACACAAAUUUUCUUUCAUUUAAGGUUACAUUACACAAUGCAUGGUGGCACAAGCAAGUCUUUAAUGCCAGCUCUUAGAAGCAGGAGGUAAAAGAAUCCAGAGUUCUAAGUCAUUCUAACUGCUCAGAUAGUUCAAAGCCAGCCUGGGUUGCAUUCAAACUUGUCUUUAAAAAAACAAGUGACUCGACAUUUGUACAACACAGUGAUAUUUCAGAUGAUGUUUGUGAAAUUGAGUUAAAUUUGAGUGUUGUAAGGAUGAGCCUUCAUUUAUUUGUCCCGACAAGCCAAAUCAACUUACUUAUGGAACUAACUUAAAGCAGUCUGCUUCUGUAAGUCCAGGCUGUCCUUCAACUUGUGUUUCCACAAGCUCUUGCCUCAACCAAGUGCUGAGAUUUAGGUGUGUAAACCAUUUGAAAUUAUUUUUCACUUGGGCUGUGUGGGACAAACAGCCCACAGAGUCUUGUGCUUCAAGGACUUCUUUUAAAAAAAAAAAUCAUAAGCUACUAGUCUCCAGUUACUCGGCCAGACACCUCCCUCCUCUUGCCUUCAAAUUUGCCUCUUUACAAAAGCUGCUUUGCUGGCAGUUCAGUAUGAAUUUAUUUUACAGCAUAUACAAGGUUUUCUGGUAGCUUGCAGUUCCUGAGAACUGCAACCGAAGGCUCUUAAGCUGAGCGGGGGACACACAGUAGGGCACUCACUACGUUGAUUGGCAGUUGAAGUGGCAGUUGGUGUGGAGUCGUCGCUGCCACGGGUACUCUUAUCUUUCCUGGCCACACCCCUGGGCCCAGGAGGCAGCUCUGAACAGAUGGUGAGUCUCCGGUGCCAGGUGUGCAGCGCGCCCUGCGCUGUGUGAGGCACAGGGCUCUUUGGUCCUUGCCGCACCCCACCCAUCCUAUGCCCGCGAGCGCCCCCAGCGCAAUGUGUGUCUCGGUGCUGUCCGCACGCGCGGUUAGCCGAAGGUGAAAGGCUGGGAAAAAAGGAACCCUAGUGCCAGGCAGAACCCGCCACCGGGCCAGCUGCUCGUGGCGAGCACGUUCCUCCCCUCCUCUGACUCCCAUCACUUGGCAGCCACCCCAAUCGCCUGCUCGCCCCUCUGCAGCAGCACACACGCCUUCGCACUUGCUCCCCUCCCUAUUCUCUUUUCUGACACUUCGUGGCUUACAUGGACCACUCUCCAGCGGGAUGCCCUUGGUCCCCGCCCGUCUCUUAGCCUUCAAGGUGGCUCUCCUCGUUCCCUAAUAUUUGGGGAACUCUAGGCGGCUUUUUUUUUUUCCAUAAUCGUAAUCAUUUGCUUGCCUCCUGGGACUCCAAACUGUAAUUGCUUUUACGUGUCUGUGGUCUCGAGGACAAGGAAUCCACUGAGAGAUGGUUUGGGGGUGCUGGGCUGGGAAGAGGAUGCUCUAUUCCGAUUCCGAGUACCGUUUGCGGGGUGGGGGCUGCAAGGAGGAAAGUGCGCUCAGCCUUUCCUUUAUCCACCCUCCCCCCGUCGCCCUCGGCAAGGGCUUUGGGGCGCCUUCGAGGUCCUCUGUGGACACACAAACACCUCAAUCUUCCUGAUCAGGCUAGAGCCUGGAGGUGGGGAACUAUCUGGUUCCUUCGUUCUGCCCCUGGGAAGAAGCCCUGGCCGCUGUGCGUGCACUGCCCCUCCCGCAGUCACAGUGAGAGCUGAAGCGUGAGUCCCAGACCGAUGCAGAUGGCACGCUAUUUAGUCCAGGAGAGGCUCACAGAGGGGUUGGCCUUUGGGACUCCUGUGGUCAUGCACCGUGUGUUUCUGCCGCCGCCGAAGCAGAGCGCGCAGCUGGCGGAGAAACCGCAUUCUCGCUCCUACCCGCCCGAGGGAGAUGACCCGUGACCUCCCGAGUGAGGUUACCAGAUCCGAAAGGGGCGUCUCGGCUUCCCCAGCCAUGGGGGUUGAGGGGGUGGGGGGUGGGAGGUGGGCUGGAGAGGUCGGACGAGCAAACAGGGAGCAGCAAUCGGUUACCCUAAACUUUGUCUUACGGGGAAUGGGGGGAUGCCCAGAAUUCACCAGCACACCCACCGGUCCUUGAAACCCGGAGAAGUGUUGGGGGUUCACUGGUUCAGGAGACCAGGAAGGGACGGUUGGAUCUUCCCCCACGUUUUCCCACGUCGCUGCAUGCUCAGGCAGGCUCAGCGCUGCCACCUGGCGGCUGCCUCUCCCGGACUGGGAGGAGCUGUCUGCACGCACCAGUUCCACAGAUCUUGAAGGGUGUGCCAGGCCUCUAUCUGGGGAAAGGGCAGAAGCUCCAGUUAAUGCUUCCUAUCUAUGUGGCCCGUGCAGACACACUUGUUUUCUGCUUGUUCUCAAGAGUAAGAGGGAAAUGCGUUGGCGUUGAACGGCAUGGGUAUAAAGAGCUGACUUGAGCCUGCUGGUUAUGAGGGGUGAGAAAGUGGUGAAAUUAUUAGAAAUAUAUGUUUCUUAUCUCUGUGUAGUCUAACAGUGAAUAUGAACGACAGCUUUCAUUUAUCCUGCUUAAUAUUUU
rnacentral:lncRNA from 1 species